GGGACGGCCGUGCCGGGAGUUGCGGGAGCCGUGCUGCGCUGCGCCCCGCAGUUCCCGCUCGGGAGGCGGCGAGCGCCGGACACCGGAACGCGGCUAAGGGCCUGCGCGCCGUGGGCACGGGAGCGCAGCGCCUGACCGGCGAGGGCAUUGCCGUGGACCUACGCGGCGCGGGUGCGAUCGGCUUCCCCGCGACACUGAAGGGCGAGUUUGCCAGUCGCUGAGCAGAGCCCACCAUGGUGGCACCGGGACCUGGCACCCAGGUCUUGCCUGCUUCCGCCCCUUCCCAGGGCCACCUGCCGCUCAGGACCACAUGUCCAGGUAA